rnacentral:misc_RNA from 1 species
ACGCCCGAAGUCAUUACCCUAACCGAAAGGAGGGGGAUGCCGAAGGCAGGGUUAGUGACUGGGGUGAAGUCGUAACAAGGUAGCCGUACCGGAAGGUGUGGCUGGAUCACCUCCUUUAAAGGAGACCUGCUGAUGUCGAUUAGGAAAAAGACGUCAGGCAAUCCUAGGUCGAGUGUGGGGGUAAGAGAAAACUUUCAAACUUACAUGGUUCGCCUAAGGUUAUUAAUAAAAAUGGCUAAAACAGCGAUCUAACAAAGUAAAGAUGGAAUAAGCCCAAAAUAAAAAGAGUGGGUAGUCAUCUAGAAAAUAUGUAUAGAUUAAAUGUAGCCAGAAAAAGCACCUUGAAAACUGCAUAGAAACAUAGGAAGAAGAGAAAAGUUAAGGUCAAGUUAGAAAGAGCUAACGGUGGAUACCUAGGCACACAGAGG